rnacentral:rRNA from 1 species
GACGAACCGUCCAAACGUUAUUCGGAAUCACUGGGCUUACAGAGUUCGUAGGCGGUCUGGAAAGUUGGGUGUGAAAUCCCUCGGCUCAACCGAGGAACUGCGCUCAAAACUACCCGACUCGAGGGAGAUAGAGGAAAGCGGAACUGAUGGUGGAGCGGUGAAAUGCGUUGAUAUCAUCAGGAACACCGGUGGCGAAGGCGGCUUUCUGGGUCUUACCUGACGCUGAGGAGCGAAAGCCAGGG